GACGAACGCUGGCGGCGUGCUUAACACAUGCAAGUCGAACGAUGAAGCCUAGCUUGCUAGGUGGAUUAGUGGCGAACGGGUGAGUAAUACGUGAGUAACCUACCUUUAACUCUGGGAUAAGCCCGGGAAACUGGGUCUAAUACCGGAUACGACCAAUCUCCGCAUGGGGUGUUGGUGGAAAGCGUUAUGUAGUGGUUAUAGAUGGGCUCACGGCCUAUCAGCUUGUUGGUGAGGUAACGGCUCACCAAGGCGACGACGGGUAGCCGGCCUGAGAGGGUGACCGGCCACACUGGGACUGAGACACGGCCCAGACUCCUACGGGAGGCAGCAGUGGGGAAUAUUGCACAAUGGGCGCAAGCCUGAUGCAGCGACGCCGCGUGAGGGAUGACGGCCUUCGGGUUGUAAACCUCUGUUAGCAGGGAAGAAGAGAGAUUGACGGUACCUGCAGAGAAAGCGCCGGCUAACUACGUGCCAGCAGCCGCGGUAAUACGUAGGGCGCGAGCGUUGUCCGGAAUUAUUGGGCGUAAAGAGCUUGUAGGCGGUUUGUCGCGUCUGCUGUGAAAGGCCGGGGCUUAACUCCUUGUUAUUGCAGUGGGUACGGGCAGACUAGAGUGCAGUAGGGGGAGACUGGAAUUCCUGGUGUAGCGGUGGAUGCGCAGAUAUCAGGAGGAGCACCGAUGGCGAAGGCAGGUCUCUGGGCUGUACUGACG
rnacentral:rRNA from 1 species